UAUGUGAUCGUCUCUCGCAUAUCAAUAAGCGGAGGAAAAGAAACUAACAAGGAUUCCCCUAGUAACGGCAAGUGAAGCGGGAAGAGCUCAAAUUUGAAAUCUUAAAGGGUUUCCCUUUACGAAUUGUAGUUUAAAGAAGUGUUUUCUGUUGAGGUUUUGGUAAAAGUUCUUUGGAAUAGGACAUCAUAGAGGGUGAGAAUCCCGUAUUUGACCUUUACUUUCAACUGUGUGAUACACUUUCAAAGAGUCGGAUUGUUUGGGAAUGCAGUCCAAAAUGGGUGGUAAAUUUCAUCUAAAGCUAAAUAUUGGCGAGAGACCGAUAGCGAACAAGUACCGUGAGGGAAAGAUGAAAAGAACUUUGAAAAGAGAGUUAAACAGUACGUGAAAUUGUCAAAAGGGAAGCGUUUGACACCAGUGUUGUUUUUCUGAAAAUCAAUUAAAGAACUGUUUAUGCUAAGUCUGUUUAGACUUUAUCAGCUAUCUGUUUAGUUUUGAGCUUUUCUUUAAUGCACUUUUCAGUUAACAAGUCAACAUCAACUUCUUUUGCUGUAAAAAAGCUUGAGGAAGGUGGCUUGAGAUUCGUCUUAAGUGUUUAUAGCCUCUUGCCUAUGCAGUCGGAGAGAUUGAGGUCUGCAGCGUAGAUCCUUCGGGGCUAAAUGCAUUUGUGCUAAGUUAUAGCAUUUUAUAGACAACUUGUUGACUAUGAUUUGUCUUGUAGCUUACUCGCUUAUGUUAUUUUACCUACGCUUAGGAUGUUGAAGUCAUCGUAUCGCGC
rnacentral:rRNA from 1 species